CCGCACGCCGCUACACUGAUACGCUCAACGAGUAUAUAACCUUGAUCCAUAGGUCUGGGUAAUCUUUGUGAAUACGUAUCGUGCUAGGGAUAGAUUAUUGCAAUUAUUAAUCUUGAACGAGGAAUUCCUAGUAAACGCAAGUCAUCAGCUUGCAUUGAUUACGU
rnacentral:rRNA from 1 species